rnacentral:rRNA from 1 species
GGCCAGACUCCUACGGGAGGCAGCAGUGAGGAAUAUUGGUCAAUGGGCGCGAGCCUGAACCAGCCAAGUCGCGUGAGGGAUGACGGCCCUACGGGUUGUAAACCUCUUUUGUCGGGGAGCAAAUUCCGCCACGUGUGGCGGAGUCGAGAGUACCCGAAGAAAAAGCAUCGGCUAACUCCGUGCCAGCAGCCGCGGUAAUACGGAGGAUGCGAGCGUUAUCCGGAUUUAUUGGGUUUAAAGGGUGCGUAGGCGGACUGUCAAGUCAGCGGUAAAAUCGCGGGGCUCAACCUCGCUCCGCCGUUGAAACUGGCGUUCUUGAGUGGGCGAGAAGUAUGCGGAAUGCGUGGUGUAGCGGUGAAAUGCAUAGAUAUCACGCAGAACUCCGAUUGCGAAGGCAGCGUACCGGCGCCCAACUGACGCUGAAGCACGAAGGCGUGGGUAUCGAACAGGAUUAGAUACCCUCGUAA